UACGGAGGGGGCUAGCGUUGUUCGGAAUUACUGGGCGUAAAGCGCGUGUAGGCGGCUAAGUAAGUCGGGCGUGAAAUCCCACGGCUCAACCGUGGAAGUGCACUCGAAACUGCAUAGCUAGAGUCCUGGAGAGGAAGGUGGAAUGCUUGGUGUAGCGGUGAAAUGCGCAGAUAUCAGGAGGAACACCGAUGGCGAAGGCAGGUCUCUGGGCAUUAACUGACGCUGAGGAGCGAAAGCAUGGGGAGCGAACAGG
rnacentral:rRNA from 1 species